CCCUUAGAUGUUCUGGGCCGCACGCGCGCUACACUGACGAAUGCAACGAGCUUAUAACCUUGGCCGAAAGGUCUGGGUAAUCUCCAAAUUUCGUCGUGAUGGGGAUAGAUUAUUGCAAUUAUUAAUCUUCAACGAGGAAUGCCUAGUAAGCGCAAGUCAUCAGCUUGCGUUGAUUACGUCCCUGCCCUUUGUACACACCGCCCGUCGCUCCUACCGAUUGAAUGGUCCGGUGAAGCGCUCGGACCGCGGCCUCUUGACGGUUUUCCGUCGAUUGGCUGUGGGAAGUUCGUUAAACCUUAUCAUUUAGAGGAAGGAGAGGUCGUAACA
rnacentral:rRNA from 1 species